rnacentral:rRNA from 1 species
AUUGAACGCUGGCGGCAUGCCUUACACAUGCAAGUCGAACGGCAGCGGGGACUUCGGUCCGCCGGCGAGUGGCGAACGGGUUAGUAAUGUAUCGGAACGUACCAUUCAGUGGGGGAUAACUAUCCGAAAGGAUAGCUAAUACCGCAUAUUCUGUGAGCAGGAAAGCAGGGGAUCGCAAGACCUUGCGCUGAUUGAGCGGCCGAUAUCAGAUUAGCUAGUUGGUGAGGUAACGGCUCGCCAAGGCUACGAUCUGUAGCGGGUCUGAGAGGAUGAUCCGCCACAAUGGGACUGAGACACGGCCCAGACUCCUACGGGAGGCAGCAGUGGGGAAUUUUGGACCAUGGGCGCAAGCCUGAUCCAGCCAUGCCGCGUGAGUGAAGAAGGACUUCGGGUUGUAAAGCUCUUUCGGCCGGGAAGAAAUCGCAUCAGCUAAUACCUGGUGUGGAUGACGGUACCGGAAUAAGAAGCACCGGCUAACUACGUGCCAGCCGCCGCCGUAACAC